GGGGGAUAUUGCACAAUGGAGGAAACUCUGAUGCAGCAACGCCGCGUGAGGGAAGAAGGUCUUCGGAUUGUAAACCUUUGUCCUUGGUGGCGAAACAAAUGACGGUAGCCAAGGAGGAAGCUCCGGCUAACUACGUGCCAGCAGCCGCGGUAAUACGUAGGGAGCAAGCGUUGUCCGGAUUUACUGGGUGUAAAGGGUGCGUAGGCGGCUCUGCAAGUCAGGCGUGAAAACUAUGGGCUUAACCCAUAGACUGCGUUUGAAACUGUGGGGCUUGAGUGAAGUAGAGGUAGGCGGAAUUCCCGGUGUAGCGGUGAAAUGCGUAGAGAUCGGGAGGAACACCAGUGGCGAAGGCGGCCUACUGGGCUUUAACUGACGCUGAAGCACGAAAGCAUGGGUAGCAAAC
rnacentral:rRNA from 1 species